rnacentral:rRNA from 1 species
ACGGGGGGAGCAAGCGUUGUUCGGAAUCACUGGGCGUAAAGGGCGUGUAGGCGGUUUGGUAAGUGGGAUGUGAAAUGCCUCGGCUCACCCGAGGACCGGCAUCCCAAACUGCCAAGCUUGAGUAUGGGAGAGGAUGUGGGAAUUCCUGGUGUAGCGGUGAAAUGCGUAGAUAUCAGGAGGAACACCGGUGGCGAAGGCGCACAUCUGGCCCAAUACUGACGCUGAGGCGCGAAAGCUAGGGGAGCAAACGGGA